rnacentral:rRNA from 1 species
AGUGAACGCUGGCGGUAGGCCUAACACAUGCAAGUCGAGCGGCAGCACAGUAAGAGCUUGCUCUUACGGGUGGCGAGUGGCGGACGGGUGAGGAAUACAUCGGAAUCUACUUUUUCGUGGGGGAUAACGUAGGGAAACUUACGCUAAUACCGCAUACGACCUACGGGUGAAAGCAGGGGAUCUUCGGACCUUGCGCGAUUGAAUGAGCCGAUGUCGGAUUAGCUAGUUGGCGGGGUAAAGGCCCACCAAGGCGACGAUCCGUAGCUGGUCUGAGAGGAUGAUCAGCCACACUGGAACUGAGACACGGUCCAGACUCCUACGGGAGGCAGCAGUCGGGAAUAUUCGACAAUGGGCGCAAGCCUGAUCCAGCCAUACCGCGUGAGUGGAGAAGCCCUUCGGGUUGUAAAGCCCUUUUGUUGGGAAAGAAAAGCAGCAGGUUAAUACCGCGCUGUUCUGACGGUACCCAGAAAAUAAGCACCGGCUAACUUCGUG